rnacentral:lncRNA from 1 species
AAUCAUAUGAUGCAAAAGUCUCAUCUUAACGGUUAGAGUGCUUGCUAUUAUAUCUCCUUUUAUGUCAUCCCUACCCAAAAUUAAUCUCAGUCCUUCCCUUUUAUCUCCAAAUUUUUCAAAAACUAUUUCCUCUCUAGAUAACUCAAAGAUCUAUACUAAGCUUGCUUCAGAUACUUCAAAUUCAGUUCUUUUAAUAGUAAAAAUUAUUUCUCCUGAACUCCUCUUCAGAUUUUAUAAAAUUCUCUCACUAAGUGUAGAUACAUAGGU